rnacentral:rRNA from 1 species
UACGUAGGGUGCGAGCGUUGUCCGGAAUUACUGGGCGUAGAGAGCUCGUAGGUGGUUUGUCGCGUUGUUCGUGAAAACUCACAGCUCAACUGUGGGCGUGCGGGCGAUACGGGCAGACUGGAGUACUGCAGGGGAGACUGGAAUUCCUGGUGUAGCGGUGGAAUGCGCAGAUAUCAGGAGGAACACCGGUGGCGAAGGCGGGUCUCUGGGCAGUAACUGACGCUGAGGAGCGAAAGCGUGGGGAGCGAACAGG